UCCAGAUACAGGAUGCGCUGGGUGAUGG
rnacentral:piRNA from 1 species